UAUCAACGCUGGCGGCGUGCCUCAGACAUGCAAGUCGAACGAUUAAAGCUCUCUUCGGAGAGUGUAUAGAGUGGCGCACGGGUGAGUAACACGUAAGUAAUCUACCUUUGAGUGGGGAAUAACAGUCGGAAACGGCUGCUAAUACCGCAUAACGCAGCGGCACCGCAAGGUGACAGUUGUUAAAGGAGCAAUCCGCUUAAAGAGGAGCUUGCGGCAGAUAGCUUGUUGGUAAGGUAACGGCUUACCAAGGCUACGAUCUGUAUCCGGUCUAAGAGGACGGUCGGACACACUGACACUGAAUAACGGGUCAGACUCCUACGGGAGGCAGCAGUCGGGAAUUUUGGGCAAUGGGCGAAAGCCUGACCCAGCAACGCCGCGUGAAGGAU
rnacentral:rRNA from 1 species